GUAGCGCAAUGAAUAGUGCGUUGGACUUCUCAUCCAUAGGUUGUGGGUUCGAAUCCCACCUCA
rnacentral:tRNA from 1 species